AAUAAACCGUUGACGUGGAGAUAACGGUGUAUCGUGCAGUUACAGAGAGCGGGGAAGGCUGAGAGCCUCGCACAACGCAGAGCAUCAAAUGGACCACUGAGGGCGCAGUCAAAGGAAAUGACCAUUUCCGAGUAUUCUGCGACGUGACGCAUACGUCAGUUGCGAGGGAUAUGUUAGUAUCCUGCAGAGUGUACAGGGAUUUUUCUCUGUAAAUUAAGGUGGUACCGCGGGUUGCAUUUUUGCGCUCGUCCUUGAU
rnacentral:ncRNA from 1 species